CCAGACUCCUACGGGAGGCAGCAGUGGGGAAUAUUGCACAAUGGGGGAAACCCUGAUGCAGCGACGCCGCGUGAGUGAGGAAGUAUUUCGGUAUGUAAAGCUCUAUCAGCAGGGAAGAAAAUGACGGUACCUGACUAAGAAGCCCCGGCUAACUACGUGCCAGCAGCCGCGGUAAUACGUAGGGGGCAAGCGUUAUCCGGAUUUACUGGGUGUAAAGGGAGCGUAGACGGCUAAUCAAGUCAGAAGGGAAAACCCAUGGCUCAACCGUGGGAGUGCUUUUGAAACUGAGUAGCUAGAGUGCAGGAGAGGUAAGCGGAAUUCCUAGUGUAGCGGUGAAAUGCGUAGAUAUUAGGAGGAGCACCAGUGGCGAAGGCGGCUUACUGGACUGUAACUGACGUUGAGGCUCGAAAGCGUGGGGAGCAAACAGGAUUAGAUACCCCGGUAA
rnacentral:rRNA from 1 species